CAAACGACGUACACACGUAGUCCUAUCCCUACGGUCCUGGAAUUGGGGGUUACUAUCUUGGAAUCUGGGGGCACUCCAGGCUCUGGGCUCAGACGGCUGACUUCUGCCUAUCCGAACCUUAACCUUUCAAAGACGGGAAGGAUUCCGGAGCUCUUGCCCUAAGUCCUGGGGCAGCGAUGACUCACCGCAGCACCCCCUCCCACUUCGCCAAGCUGCCGUCUCCGCCCACCCCCAAACAAUCUCGACAGCGCAUUUCGGGAGCCACGGCUCCGGGUGCUCUGCUGGGGGCUAAAGGGGUUUAUCCCUUUCCUUGAAUCCCAGCAGGCUAGAACUACCCCCUCCCAGGCUUCAGGCUUGCCAUGCUCCCCACCCGAUCCUUCCAAUGCGAGGCAGAAAAGGAAGGAUGCGCUUGGGAACUCUUAAGAGCCGCGAACGACAGCGCACUGAUGGAGCAGCCCAGUGUCCAGGGCAAAGUCCUCGAGGUUCAUUCAUUCAGCAAGCCUCUGUCCAGCCUUUACCAUGUGCUGAGUGAGAAGCUGAGGAUAAGGAAGAGCAAGACCCCCAAAAAACUCUGAUGUCUGGCUGAAAGCCGAAGCAUGACGCAGCUUUGCUAUAUUUCUCUCCAACAAAGAUUUGUAUAUUUUCACUUUCUCCUCAAGCAACACCUGGACCUGCUCCUUUCCCUCAGUCUCCAAGUUCCUUUAUGAAACAGGGUGUACCAUCAGAGAUGCAGUGCCCUAAACAGUCCCUCCAGAAGUACUGAAGUAGUCAACAAACAUCUAGUGUCUACUUGGGAUGGAACACAGCCUCAGGUCCUGGGGAGGAGUGGAGGGAGACACAAAGACAAACCUGCGAUCUCACUAUGUUGCCUUGGCUGGUCUGAAACUCCUGGCCUCGAGUGAUUCCCCCUGCCUUGGCCUCCACAGUGCUGGAAUUACAGGAGCAGACCCCACACUUGUAACCAAGCACUGGAAUUUGUCACUCCUGCAAGUCAAGACUUCACCUAUGAACUAGCCGCCCUCUGCCACCCCAGCUCCAUGGAUGUGCAAUCUCUACAGUUGCACAGCAUCCCACGUUUGGUUUAGUACUUUGUUUUUGCUAUCUUUAAAUACUUAAUAAUUUUUAAACAAGAGAUCCCAUGUUUUUAUUUUGCACUGGGCUUCACAAAUACAGUCAGUGUUAUCCAUAGUACCUAAGCUAUAAUUAAUAUAAAGCUUUAAAAUGCAUAGAGUUUAGCUGAAAUUGCUGCCCAGUCUGAAGGAAAGUCCUAGAAGCGAAUUUUGGAAGAUGUUGUUCAGCCCUAAGUUAUGAAAAAAUGUUCUGCCCUUUUACAACUCUAGCAGGAAGAGCUAAGCCCCCAAUAUUCAGCCUAUUAUGUCCCUGGUGAGAGUCUUCAAAACUCCUGAGCAAUAGUGCAAGAAUUUCCCAGCCUCCAACAUGUGACCUACUUCUACCUUAUUAACUCCAAUAAACUGACCAAUUAAAUGUUUUUGUGAUCACAGAACUUGUAACUACAUGGUUAAAGAUGCUUCAGAUAUAUCACAUUCUUUCACAUUGUGGCAGAAACUACUGGUUAAAUAACUUAGCCACAUGUAUCUUCCUUGUCCACUCUGCACAAAAGAGACUGGAAAAGGCUGGACACUUGCUUCCUUCCCAUCCUCCUUUGCAGGAAAAACACACAUUGUAAAAUAAGAAUCCUUCAAAGACAACUUGAGGACGUCUGGGAAUUCUGAAGGCUGAAAAUUCCAUGAGUUCAUAGCAGUAUUCACUAAUUCCACUGAUCUAAAGACAAAAAGGAGGGUCAACUGCAUGCCCAAACUCAUUUCUGAUGAUUUCUUCCAUCCUACCUUUUCUGCCUCUCUGGGGGUGGUUAUGCCUGUGAAAAACAUCGAAGCUGUCAGGAACACAGUCGGCUUUCAAGACUGGAAUGUCAAAGUAGAGUCUUCUUUUCCUCAGACGAGUUUCCAGAUCUAAACAAAGACAGGAUUGGGAUAUAGGAGGUUGUACACAUGAACAGCACAAACACCUUGGGUAAGUGAUACACCAAGAGAGGCCAAAACAGGGCAGGAACACAAUCCUAAAGCUACAUGAGAUAAGAAGCCAAGAGACCCUGUCUACAGGCUGAUCUGUGUUGCAACCAGAGGCCAACUACACUCAAGAAAAUUCUAAAUGAUGUAAUUGGUCAUGGGCACUUUCUCAUAAAAACGAUCGAUAUUUUUUUUCUUACAGGGAUAAAGCUUGAAAGCAUGGGAUGUAGCUCCAUUAGGAAAUAUGAAGUGAGCUGGUAUAUUCCAGGUAGGUUAGACUGAGAUCAUUACAAAAUUGGGCUGAUUUUACAUGGAGAAGAACCUGAUUCCUAAAGGUGUUGAAGAACAAGAUGGGGACAGUUAUUAAGGUGUCCAGGUGUGGUCCUUUGUAGUCUGUAGCCUAUUAAUACACAACUGAACACAGACCCAAGAAAAGGGGUUCUACUCAUUGCUAGAAUGUAAACUCUAAGAAGAUAAGGAUUUUGUCUCUUCAUUUACUACUGUAUUCCCAGCUCCUAGAAGAGUGUCCAGCACUUAGUAUCUGUUGAUAAGUGACUGUUGAAUUAAUCAACCAGUGGUGAGACUUUGGAAAGCAGCUAGUCCAUCUGUAAGACUGCUUUCUCAUCUGUGAGAUGAGUCGGUUAGAUUAGAUGUUUUCUAAGCUUAUUCUAGUUUUAAAAAUUGUAUGUUUCUAUCAGAAAUGAUAAAUGAAAAUGUCCAUUCCUUUUUCAUCUCCAUCACCCAUCUCACAUAUUCUUUCAGUGCCUAUGUUGUCUGUUUGAGUACAACCAACCAGGUGUAGGAAAGUACUAACUGAUAUGAGAUGACUUCAGUAGUCCAGGGACUCUCCCUCCCCCGACCCCGUAAAGAGUCAUUUGCUUAGUUUAAUGUAUAUUAUAAAAACAGAAUUAGUUUCUCAAUUCCAUUUAUAGUCAUAUUAUAGUUUAUUUUUCACAUAAAUUUAAGGUACAAUGAAGUCAACUUAAAGAAAAUAUUUUAAGUAAAUUACAAUGCAAGUUCUACACAGAUGUAGCACAAACCACAAUGGUAGGACACAAACAAUUGCUAUUUGAGAAACAGGCCUCUUCAUCAGUACUUAUGGCAUGUAUCUUAAAACCUAACUUUCACUAGUGCUCUCAAAGGGACUAAGUCACAAUUCAAGUGGCCAUACCAUUUAGCUGAGGGCCCUUUAUUCCUGUUUAUGGUAAAAUAAUUGCCUUACCUGAACUUUUAAAAAAUAUACUUUUCCUGCUUCUGACCAUAAUGGGCUAACUGCCAUUAAAGAGACCAUCUAUCAGAAACAAUUAGAAAACUGGAUGGAAUAUACGAAGUCACUGUUUUUGGACAAUAGGCAGCACAAAACUAUGAUCCCUGAGAAAAAGGAAGGAAGUGAGGUGAUGCCUACAAUUGCCCUGAUUUUUUGCCUAGAGAUACUGUCCCAACUGCUACUCUGGAAAGGAAAACCCAGGUGAAACAUGGGGCCUCACCGAGUAGAGGAGACAGGGAUCAACACUGAGAAAGCUGAAAUGACUGGAAUUUGUAGGGCAGAGCAUGAGGAAGGAAGGAGCUAUGUAGGGAAAGAGCUCAAGAAAUACACACAAAGGGUGGGUGCAGUGGCUCACAUCUGUAAUCCCAGCACUUUGGGAGGCUGAAGUGGGCAGAUUACUUGAAGCUAGGAGUUCAAGACCAGCCUGGCCAACCUGAUGAAACCCUCUCUCUA